rnacentral:lncRNA from 1 species
GGCCUGAGCGCCUGGUUUAGGCCGGAAAUGGUCUAGUUCUCAGAGGUGGUCCGAUCCCUAACCAGUCCCAGGCCCAGCCCCAGCCCAGCACCACCUGGAAGGUUCAAGUACAUGGAGGAGAGGAGUAAGGCGGACUUGGGCGUAUGGAGAAAGGGGUGAAGGGAGAAAGAGGACUUGCGCUCAGGAGGGAGCGUGGCCUACUGGUGGGAAAGCAGGCGUGGCCGCCUGUGCGGGAGGUUGCGGAUCCACAGUGGGCGAGACCAGGCCCCAGCCCCAUCAGGGCGCGGGGUGCGCAGCCAGGUGGUGCUCCAGCAGCGCCCAGUGAGAGGAGACCUUGCGGUAGACGGGGGAAGGGCGCGCGCUCUGGCCGCUGAGUGCGCAUGUGCAUAUUGAGCGAACUCUUCUGCGGGAAGGGCUUGGCGUAGACCGCGCACUGGAAGGCGUGCGCGCAGGUGUGCGUGACCAUGUGCUUGAAACGGCAGUAGCGCAGCGAGAAGGAUCGCCAUCACACGGCGCACUGGUGCGGCUUCUCCCCCGAGUGGAUGAACAUGUGCUUGGUGUCGUUUUUCCUUGAGCUGAACGUCUUGCAACAGUGGCCGCACGCAUAGCUGCCCCAGAUCCCGGAAGAAAAUCUCUCCCACACCACUGUAGUCAGAGAGGCCAGUGGGUGCAUGGAACUCCUCGCACGCGCUGUCAGCAGCAGCAGUGAGGAAGCCGGCAGCACAGUCUGGGAAGGAAGGAGGUGCUUGGCUCUCUCCCGGGCCGCCACCUUCGCCGUCCUCGCCAUCGGUCUCAUCGUCAGUUUCCUCGUCAUCGUUGUCACCUCGGUCGUCAGGGGCCGCGGACAGUGAGGGGUAGGCACCAAGCCCCUCGGCUUUGGCAGGUGUCGGGGGCGCAGGCAGCUGCAAACUCGCGGGCCGGCGCUGCUUACCGCUGUGCGCGGCACCGGGGUGCCCCGGGGGUGCGCAGCCAGCAGGUGGCGCAGGCGGUGACGCAGCUGCUCAGGUGCGAGUGGCGGGGGCACAGGGGUGGGCAGGGGCGCGGGUGCAGAGGUGCUCGCGGGUGCAGAGGAGCGCGUGCGAUAAUCUGCGUGCAUUCGUCGAUAACUGUCUAUGCGAAGCACCGACGCAGCCAUGAGUACCUGCGGGGCUUCACUCUGUGCCACAACGAGCGAACCGCUGUACAGGAGCUCGACUAGCUGUCGCACCGUCUGCACAGGCACCACCGAAGGCACACGGAUCUCAGAGGGGCCGAGCAGCAGCUUGUCUUGGAAGGAGGGCGAGCCGAUUGCCAGCCCGCAGCGGUGCGCACGCAGCGAAGCUUCAUGAAUGCACACAGUCACGUCGCAGAAGUGCCCACCCAGCUUCUGCCCAUUGAGGGUCUCAAGCAGAGAGCGUGAGAAGUUCUGCAGAUGUAUGUGGCGCACAGCCUCUACAGCCGCCGACUCCGACUCCUCUUCAGGCACCAGGCCUGGCCGUGGCCGCCUUCUCACCGACUCCAAGGCAGCACUUCCGGGCGCUUCUCUUUAUUUUUAUACAGUUUUAUUGAGAUAUAAUUUACAUGCUAUCCAGCCCAUCUAUUUCAAGUGUACCAUGCAAGGGGUUUGUAUAUAUUCACAGAGUUGUGUAUCCAUCACCAUCGUUUUAGAACAUUCAUCACUCCAGAAGAAACUACGUACCCAUCAGCAGCCACUGCCCAUUUCCCUGAUCUGCCCCGCCCUAGGAAAUCCGUAAUCACUUUCAGUCUAUGGAUUUGCCUAUUCUAGACCAUUCAUAUAAAUGAAGUCACACAACACUGGGUCUUAUGUGACUGGCUUCUAUCAAAGUUUGCAAGGUUCAUUUAUGUUCAUGGUAUGUAUCAGUAGCUUGUUACUUUUUAUGUUUGACUUCUAUUCUGUUACUUACCUACACCGUAUUUUAUCUAUCUCUUCUGCAGUUUAUGGGAUUUAGGUCGUUUCCACGUUUUGGCUGUUCUAAAUAAUGCUGCUCUGAGCGUUCACAUACAAGCUUUUCACAUGAUUUCAUUUCUCCAGAUCUAGGAGUGCAAUUGCUAUAUUAUAUGGCAACCCCGUGUUUCACUUUUUGACAAAGUGCCAGACUGCUUUUCAAAGGACAGCAUCAUUUUAUAUUCCUGCCAGCAAUGUCGAGGGGUCCAGUUUCCACACAUUCUCACAAACACUUAUUGUUAUCUGUCUCUCUAGUUAUUGCCUUCCUGAUGGAUGUGGAGUGCUUUCUCAUUGGUUUUGAUUUGCAUUGUUUAAAUGAGUUAUAAGAUUGAGCAUGUUUUCAUGUUUAUUGGCUGCUUGUAUAUCUUCUUUGGAGAAAUGUCUAUUCAGAUUGUCUCCCCAUUUUAAAAUCGUGUUAUUUUCUUUUUUACUAUUGACUUGUGAAUGUUCAAACAUGUAUAUAUAUAUAUAUAUAUAUAUUUUUUUUUUUUUUUUUUUUUGAGACGGAGUCUUACUCUGUUGCCAGGCUGGAGUGCAGUGGCACGAUCUUGGCUCACUGCAAUCUCUGCGUCACGGGUUUAAGUGAUUCUCCUGCCUCAGCCUCCUGAGUAGCUGGGACUACAGGCAUGCACCACCACACCCGGCUAAUUUUUGUAUUUUUAGUAGAGACGGGGUUUCACCAUGUUGGCCAGGAUGGUCUCAAUCUCCUGACCUCGUAAUCCACCCACGUUGUUCUCCCAAAGUGCUGGGAUUACAAGGUGUGAGCCACCGCGCCCGGCCCAAACAUAUUCUUAUACAAUUCUCUUCUUAGAUAUAGGGUUUGCAAACAUUUUAUCUCACAUUGUAAUUAUUUUUUCAUUUUCUUGAAAGUCUACUUUGAUACAGGAAUAUUUGUGAAUUUUAUAAAGUACAGCUUAUCUAUAUUUUCUAUUAUACUUGUGGUUUUGGUAUGAUAUCCAUAAAAUCAUUGCCUAACCCAAGGUCACAAAGCCUCAGUCCCAUAUUUUCUCCUACGUGUACUAAACUUUUGGCUUUUAUAUUUAGGUCUUUGAUCCAUUUAGGGUUAACUUUUAUAAAUGGUGUGAGGGAGGGGACUAACUUCAGUCUGUACAUGUGAACAUCAAUCUGUCCCAGGACAUUUUUGAAAAGACUAUUCACUCCCCAUUGAAUUGCCUUGUCUCCCUUGUCAAAGUCACAACAAUUACUGUCCUCAUUUUUGUAUCUGGUCACAUGUUCCUAGUUAGUAACUAUAACUACCCUCUUCUACUACGCAUUCUGUAUUCCCUUAGCUUUCAGCAAGCAACUCAGUUGGUCUUGAUUCUUUAUAUGGGGCAAUGACCCAAACUUUCCUUCCUGAAGGAAUUGGGCCAUUGGCAGCUGUGCCCGAAUUGGGUUGUUGUAGUUUUCCAUUAAAUUAAUCACAGGGCAUGGUAGUAGGUAGCACUGAAGACACCCUAGGAGAUCCCAUGUAUUCCAGAAGUAUUAUUUCUUAGUUCUGUGGAGUAGAAGCAAUUAACCCUUGGUAGUCAGGAUCAACCACCUCUGCCAGCACGGUAACUCCCUUCUUUGCCUGUCUAUUCAGAGGCAUGAGGAGCUCAGAGUGGACAGGGACUAUCUUAACUUCCAGUUCAGUAGAAUCAUUUCUUUGUAUCGUGGGGGAUGCAUUCCUCCUUUUGGGACCAAGACUUCUAGACCAGCAGAGCAUAAGAUUGAGGGACAGGAAAUGAAAAUUUUGCUGGUGUGUCACUAGGGGUAAUAGUGAUGAUGAGAACCAAUUGGUGUGGGAGACCAUGAGGUGGAUAAGGCACUCUGUAAGUCCAGACAGUAGUGUGAUUUUUAUGAAGUACAAUUUAUCAGUGGUGAUAGGAACAUUGAGGGUAGGAGGGGAAAUUCUCAUACAUAGUGUCUGUUUCAGUGAGAACAAGACACUGCCUCUUCUAUGAUGGAGGUGGUUCAGAGUCACAGCCAGGUUACCUUGGGAGUGGAAGUCCAUGUUGCAGAGCCCAGGCAUCACCUCCACCCCUGCCACCAUGGCCACUGUAUUCAUGAGCCCAUUGAGCAAUGACAGGGGUGGCUGGGGAAAGAGGCUGAGUGGUGUCCACAGAACAGGUCAUCCUAUCUGCUUGAUUAUUGAAAUCCUUCUCUGCCAAGGCCACCCUUUGGAGAGCAUUUACAUAGCACUCAAUGCACUCUUGCUUUUGGUUUACUCUUUUACUAGGUGAAACCAGUCCUAGUGGCUCAUAACUGGGUUUUCCUAUCAUACUUGUCCUCAGUCCGUAGGUGAAACAACAAAUGUAGGGAUGCUGAAAGUUGCUGAGUAUGUGUCUAUUCCAACCACAGGGUGGGUUCAGGGACACAUUGGAUCCACUGUGAAACAGACAUGAGCUCACACUCCAUCCACCAGCUAACCUCCAUAAGUCCCUACUCUGGUGGACCACAGUGAUGUUUUUGGUCUCUGGGAAUUCCUGUCAAAUCAGAGCCAGUGUCCAGAAUUCCCCAAAUAUCUGAGAAUUUUCUUUUCUCUAAGUCACAGUCAUCCUGGUAGAAGGCUGUAGGUCCCUUUGGGGAAGACUGGGAAAAAGAUUAACUAUGUAAGUUUUUGGCAAUGUAGCAGCGUACUUCCCCAAGAUCACCCAGCCUCCCCUUCACUUAGGGGUUGUGGGCCUGUGAACUGGCUCAAGUCUGGGAAUUGAUUGAGGGUUUAGAUCUGUGUUUCAUUAAUUUGAGUUAGUCUUUUAUUCAGUUGACCUAGAAUUCUUCAUUUUUUAAAAAACAACUAAGACUUUGGUACAGCCCAUUAGCUCUCCCUGUGGAUACCAUGGACUACACAAUGCCAUGGGUUUCUGUGAGUCAAACCAUUCUGACUGCUGCUUUGACACUGCUUUCCACUGUAGUGACCACACCCACCUCAUCUUUGGUGAUUAAGGACAGCCCAUGUUCCCUGCCACCCCAGGAUUCAAUUAUCCUCAUUUUAUUUAAAGAUCCCAGUCCAGUGGCUGCAGUUUCUGCUGUAACAUUUUGCCUACUGAGAGCACGAGCUCAAAGCUCUUCCAGGAUACUGGGCUCCUCUCACAAUAUUCUUUCUCAUGAUCGUUGUGAGAAGUAUGUUCUGUAGACCCUCCAGUGUGAGUGAGCAGGUCUGACAUAAUAAAUCCAGUCUCCCUGAGUUUUUGCAUACCUUCCUAUACACAUAAACCAAGGAAGUUGUGACAUCUCAACUUUAUGUACUUUAGGUAAACUCUGAUUCUGUUUCAGCCAACCAGCCAAGUAACAAAACAAAUAAGCAAACAGCCAACCAAUCAACCAACAAGCAAGCAAGCAACAAACCAACCAAACAAGCAAGCAAGCAAGCAAGCAAGCAACCAACCAACCAAGUAACCGAUCAAACCAACCCUUGGAGCCCUUUCUAAAACUUUGACCUACAACCCUGAAUCCAGAAUCUCUGUUUAGUGGGCCAACAUUAAUAAAUUUAGCCUACUCCAACUUUGUGUUACUUCCACCAUGGUGCCACACACUUAAUAUCCAUUCCCACAUAUAUUCUCCAGAUUUCUUUCUGUAUAAAUUGUGUGUGUGUGUGUGUGUGUGUGUGUGUGUGUAGAAAGAGAGCAUCAACUGAAAAAUCACACAAUUUUAUAAAUUUAGAAAAGAGAGCUUUAUUUCUUAUAAAGGUUUGCAGCCUGCAAGGUGGCCAUUAUGACAGGCUGGGAAGUGUGGCCUACAGCCAAGGCUAGAGGCAGGCCCUUCCAGGGAGGGAAGGAGAGGACAGGAAUUUGAGCUGAAUGAGUUGACUACAUAUACAUACUCAAUAGGAUAUCAGAGGAGCUAUAUCAUUUUAUGAGAAUACUCAUAAAAGAGGUCCUAACACAUGCAUAUUGAAUAAACAUGCAUGUUCAUUCUGGGGUGGAGACUUGACAUUUAAAUGUGUUAUAAUUAGGCCCUACACAUCAAAAAGUGAAGCAGGGAAUGAAGGUACUCAGCCUCUGUAAAGGCACAGCCUCUAAAACUGGCCAGAACCAGUCCAUGGAGGAUGGUCUCUUAUCAGGAGAAAGUUACUGAAAUCAGUCCCUUGUCCAGUGAAAGCUGUCGUUAAGGUCGGUGGGGCAGGAGAUCAGUUACUCAGUGUCUGUGAACUGGGUGAGUUGUAAUUGUUUUAAUCUUGCUUCUCUCAUAGCCAGUGCUUGCUUGGCUGCUAGAGAAAAAUAAAAACUAUGUGGUAGUUAGAAUCUAGUUUAUUCUUUAAGAGUAGGGUACAAGACUUAACCCUUGCCUGGCAUGGCCCUAGGUCCUGUUUAUAAUUUGGGGUCUUAUUGCCACAAAGAGUCUGUUCUGUCAGUCUCAUGAUCUCUAUUUUAACGUUAAUGCUGUUCAGUUGUUGGGUCUAAACCAUAAGAGGGAGAGAGGUACAGGGAGUUAUGUCUGACCUCCUGUCCUGUCAUGGCCAAGAACUGAAUUUUAAGAUUUAUUUGAGGUUCCGUUGGCCAACAGGGGGUCUGUUAAGUCGGGUGGGGGGCUUAGGGUUUCAUUUUUAGUUCUCAAGGGAGAUAAAAUAAUUUAAUCAAUUGGCCCCUGUGACUAUUGGACUAACAUGGCUAUGAUCUGUCAGACAGACUUCAGGCUGGCACCCAGGCAAAAUUCUAUACUGUAGUAAAUGCAUCAUGCACAUUUGUAACAACAUGUACAUAACAAUGUCACAAAAUACUUUCACGGUGACACCUAGAUUAGUGUUUUAUUGAAUAGCUGAUGAUAUAAACUGGCUCAUUUGAUGCCAAGACUGACCAUCACCACCAUACCAAGGUCAUCACUGAUCAGAGGCCUAACCCAAGGAGGGGGUCAUGUGCAGACCCAGCUGUGGGGAGGAAAGAUGCUGCAGAGGAGACGGAUGCCCACAGAGGCCCCUGAGUGGAUACAAUGCUCACUAAGUGGUAAGUAUAGACUCAACGUAGGCUGUCAGGUCUCCCCCUGUGCAAAUGGGACAUCCACUUGAGAGUCAAGGGUCUGUUUGGGUGGCAGGGAUAGCCACUUCUGAAGGUAGAAAGAAAAAUAAGCCACCAAAUUGGUAUCUUUCUGUGAAAUGGACAUCGUGCUUAGAGUCUCCAUUUUCCCCACAACCUGGAGGAAUAAGUAUUGUCAUCUGCAUUUUAUAGCUGAGGAAUCUGACUCAACAAAAUUAAAUUACUCACCUAAGCAAUUAGCAAUUAACCAAGUCUUUCUGAUUCAGAAACCCAGCUGUUGCCUGUUCAUAUCCAGCCCCUGUAUUGGGAUCAAGAUCUGCCCUAUUCUCAGUGCAGCAAGAUCCAGGCAGAUCACACUGGACUCCCAGCACUGAAUCUGGCUCAAGGGGACAUGAAAUUUGACUGGGUCAUGGGGCUCAGGAGCAUCACUCUCAAAAAUAGCAGUACAGGAAGAGGCGAUGGCCCUAAACAGCAUUUGCAGGCAGAUCCCAUGUUAAUCAUAAGGGCCAGGACUCUCUCACUGUCUGUCUCUCUCUCUGUCUCUCCUCUAGGGCUGACCCCACAUUGGACACCGCUGCAUCCAUGUCCAUCACACAACACAGCUGCCGUUUCUUCUGCCUGCUUAUGGGAAAGUCCCCUCUUCUCCUCCGUUUUCUUCUCUUCCUGCCCUAUCACACCGUGCACUUCUCCCUUUCCUUAAAGAACCACCAUCAACUUUAGGAGGAGGGAAAGGGGUGGCUCUGGCAGGAAAAGCCAGAAUCCCCUCUAGCCAGCAGAGAGAGAGAGGAAUGGCUGCAUGUUUUCUCCCCCAGUCCAAGGCACUGGGUCUUGGCUGGGUUGAAGGUUCCAAGCUGCUCUCCUGCUGUGUCGGUGAGUUCUGGUCAACCUGCAACCUCCUGAUAUGGCCAUUGCAGUUCAUCGAGUCUUCAGGGACUCCCCAUGGCCUGGAGUACUUUGCCUUGCUUACACGGGAGAGGAGAAUGGAUUUAUAGAGAACAUCAUCUAAAUCCAACUUGACCAUUGUGUGGCCACACUUGCUAGAUUGCUAUAGUCUAAAUCUAGCAUUGUAGAAAGACGGGGGAGCUUGGAGCUGCACAAACCCAGGUCUGGAACUGGCUCCUUACCUUGGAAGGUGAAUGAUCCUGCCAGGACUCUUAGCCUCCCUGGGUCUCAAUUUCUUUAUCUGUUUCAUGGGAAUGAGGAUCUCUGCUGGGUGGUUGGGUGAUGUGGGGGCUGUGUGAAAACAGCUUGUCAAUACAAGCCAAAAUAGAAAUAUUUCUCCACAGAGUAUGAAGGUCAAAUGAGAGAAUACAUUUAAAUUAAAUGGAAAAUUAAAAUGGUAAAAAAUGCAAAGCUGUAUUGAAAGUUCCGAGCUUCUCUAUAAGGAGCUUUUUGACUAUGGAAGAAUCCUGUACUCGUUCCCCCUAAAUAUAAAAAAAAAGUUGAAGGAGGCAGAAGGGAGAGUGAUGCACGAUGGGCAAGGACUUCACCUGCUGUUGCUGGCUUUGAGGAUGGAGGAAGGAGGCCACAAACCUAGAAGCUGGAGCCCCUAGAAGCUAGAAAAGGCAGGGACCCGAUUCUUUCCUUGAGCCUCCAGAAGGGACACAGCCCCGCCAGCACCUUGACUUUAGCCUGGUGAGAUCCUCUUAGGACUUUUGGCAAUCAGAACUAUAAGACAGAAAUGGAAGCCACUGAGUCUGUAGCUGUUUGUUGCAGCAGCAAUAGAAAACUAAUGCAGGGCCCAAGAAAUCACUGGUGAUGAGAUCGGGAAAGUGGGCUCAGGAGGUCUGGAUCUGUGAUGAGAUGGGGAAAGUGGGCUCAAGAGGUCUGGAUCUGUGGUGAGAUGGGGGAAGUGGGCUCAGGAGGUCUGGAUCUGUGAUGAGAUGGGGAAAGUGGGCUCAGGAGGUCUGGAUCUGUGAUGAGAUGGGGAAAGUGGGCUCAGGAGGUCUGGAUCUGUGAUGAGAUGGGGGAAGUGGGCUCAGGAGGUCUGGAUCUGUGAUGAGAUGGGGGAAGUGGGCUCAGGAGGUCUGGAUCUGUGAUGAGAUGGGGGAAGUGGGCUCAGGAGGUCUGGAUCUGUGAUGAGAUGGGGAAAGUGGGCUCAGGAGGUCUGGAUCUGUGAUGAGAUCGGGAAAGUGGGCUCAAGAGGUCUGGAUCUGUGGUGAGAUGGGGGAAGUGGGCUCAGGAGGUCUGGAUCUGUGAUGAGAUGGGGAAAGUGGGCUCAGGAGGUCUGGAUCUGUGAUGAGAUGGGGGAAGUGGGCUCAGGAGGUCUGGAUCUGGGGUGGGGAUCUGGAGUGGAAGGGGAAUUCAUUUGUUCAUUGUCUAUCCUUUUGUAUUGAUUGAAUUUUUUAUAUAUAUAUGUGAAUUUUCACAAUAAAAUUUUUUUCCAAAAUAAAAUAAACAAAAGGGGCUUUUUGCAACCCAAUUCCUAUCUAUGUCUGAGUCCACUUGUAUUGCAUGGGUCUUUCUGCUAACGUCCUUAUAUUUGGGUGACAAUCUGAAUGUCAGCGACCAAUCAGAGCAGAGGCAGACUUUGGAGUGGGCAGGGCAUCCUGAGGGCCCUGAUUC